rnacentral:rRNA from 1 species
CCUACGGGUGGCUGCAGUGGGGAAUAUUGGACAAUGGGCGAAAGCCUGAUCCAGCCAUGCCGCGUGUGUGAAGAAGGCCUUCGGGUUGUAAAGCACUUUCAGUGGGGAAGAAAGCCUUGGGGCUAAUACCCUCGAGGAAGGACAUCACCCACAGAAGAAGCACCGGCUAACUCCGUGCCAGCAGCCGCGGUAAUACGGAGGGUGCGAGCGUUAAUCGGAAUUACUGGGCGUAAAGCGCGCGUAGGCGGUCUGAUAAGCCGGUUGUGAAAGCCCCGGGCUCAACCUGGGAACGGCAUCCGGAACUGUCAGGCUAGAGUGCAGGAGAGGAAGGUAGAAUUCCCGGUGUAGCGGUGAAAUGCGUAGAGAUCGGGUGGAAUACCAGUGGCGAAGGCGGCCUUCUGGACUGACACUGACGCUGAGGUGCGAAAGCGUGGGUAGCAAACAGGAUUAGAUACCCUGGUAGUC